GGUUUGAUGGCCGAGCGGUCUAAGGCGUUCGACUUAAGAUCGAGUCUCUCCGGAGGCGCGGGUUCGAAUCCCGCUCAAACCA
rfam:Nematocida parisii ERTm3 unplaced genomic scaffold supercont1.9, whole genome shotgun sequence.